UACGAAGGGGGCUAGCGUUGUUCGGAAUUACUGGGCGUAAAGCGCGUGUAGGCGGGUCUUUUAAGUCAGGGGUGAAAUGCCAAGGCUCAACCUUGGAACUGCCUUUGAUACUGGAGACCUUGAGUCCGGGAGAGGUGAGUGGAAUUGCGAGUGUAGAGGUGAAAUUCGUAGAUAUUCGCAAGAACACCAGUGGCGAAGGCGGCUCACUGGCCCGGAACUGACGCUGAGACGCGAAAGCGUGGGGAGCAAACAG
rnacentral:rRNA from 1 species